GUGAGUAACGCGUAGAUAACCUACCCUUCAGAUCAGGAUAACCCUUCGAAAGGAGGGCUAAUACUGGAUAAUACUUUUGAUCGAAUGGUCGAGAGUUGAAAGUUCCGGCGCUGAGGGAUGGGUCUGCGUCCCAUUAGCUAGUUGGUGAGGUAAUGGCUCACCAAGGCAACGAUGGGUAGCGGGUCUGAGAGGACGAUCCGCCACACUGGCACUGAGACACGGGCCAGACUCC
rnacentral:rRNA from 1 species